rnacentral:rRNA from 1 species
AGAGUUUGAUCAUGGCUCAGGAUGAAUGCUGGCGGCGUGUCUAAGGCAUGCAAGUCGAAUGGUAGUAGCAAUACUGCCAUGGCAAACGGGUGCGUAACACAUUGGUAAAUUACUCCGAAGUCGUGAAUAACUCAGAGAAAUUUGAGACAAUACACGAUGGUAGUGGGGGGACACAUGUCAUUCCCACUUAAAGCAGCAAUGCGCUUUGGAAGAUGCCUAUGGCUUAUCAGCUAGUUGGUAGUGUAAAAGACUACCAAGGCUAUGACGAGUAGCGGGUGUGAGAGCAUGACCCGCCUCACUGGGACUGAGACACUGCCCAGACUCCUACGGGAGGCUGCAGUCAAGAAUAUUCCUCAAUGGGCGAAAGCCUGAAGGAGCGACGCCGCGUGUAUGAUGAAACCCUUCGGGGUGUAAAAUACUUUUAUAAGGGACGAAUCAAUGACGGUACCUUAUGAAUAAGGGGCUGCUAACCUCGUGCCAGCAGCAGCGGUAAUACGAGGGCCCCAAGCAUUAUCCGGAUUUACUGGGCGUAAAGGGUACGUAGGUGGUUAGUCGCAUCUCCCGUUAAAUCCCGAGGCUCAACUUCGGAACCGCGGGAGAGAUGGAUUAACUAGAGGCAGGAAGAGGCAAAUGGAAUUGCUGGUGUAGGGGUUAAAUCCGUUAAUAUCAGCAGGAACACCAAAUGUGAAGACAAUUUGCUGGGACUGUCCUGACACUAAGGUACGAAAGCGUGGGGAUCAAAAAGGAUUAGAUACCCUGGUAGUCC